rnacentral:lncRNA from 1 species
CCGACCGUCUGUUCAAUAGUUACGUCAACAUAACUCUUAAAACUAUAGUAACAUGUGUAUAUCUUUUAUAAGGUAACAGAUAUCGAUCUACUAUAAACUGUAAAGAUGAUCAGUAAUUCAAGACUUUUAAUUUGAGUUCAAUGUUGGGUCAUGAUAAAAUUUAACCUUGACCUUCAAAGUGUACUAUGACCUUGACCUUGUGAUAUUUGAAAGGUCAAGUAGUCCUGAGUUGAAUGGUGGUAGUCCCAUGUCUCUACGACUUCUGGUUUUCAAGUUUGGUAUUGCAUCAUAUAUUUGAUGAUUCAUUGUGACCUAGAUGAGCUUCCGAAU